GGCUUUCUACGGGGGGCAGCAGUGAGGAAUAUUGGUCAAUGGCCGGAAGGCUGAACCAGCCAAGCCGCGUGAGGGAGGAAGGCGCAGAGCGUCGCAGACCUCUUUUGCCGGGGGACAAAAGGCCGGACGGGUCCGGUUCUGAGGGUACCCGGAGAAAAAGCAUCGGCUAACUCCGUGCCAGCAGCCGCGGUAAUACGGAGGGUGCAAGCGUUACUCGGAAUCACUGGGCGUAAAGAGCGCGUAGGCGGGAUAGCAAGUCAGAUGUGAAAUCCUAUGGCUUAAACAUAGAACUGCAUUUGAAACUG
rnacentral:rRNA from 1 species